rnacentral:rRNA from 1 species
GCCUCUGAGAGUGGGAUAGCUUCUGGAAACGGAUGGUAAUACCGCAUAACACAGCGAAACCGCAUGAUUUUGUCUAUCAAAGUAUUUCGCUCAGAGAUGGCCUCGCGUCUGAUUAGAUAGUUGGUGAGGUAACGGCUCACCAAGUCGACGAUCAGUAGCCGGACUGAGAGGUUGAACGGCCACAUUGGGACUGAGACACGGCCCAG